GAGUUUGAUGUCAUCACCCUGCAAACGAUGAAACAAAUCCCCAUUUUAUUGAUGACUGAUAACUUCAAAUGUGACAAGAGGAUUCAUUUCCUUAUUCAAUCAUUCCACAAAUAUUCACUGAGCAUCUCCUACGUGCCAGGCACCAGGCUGGACUUUAGGAUCAAUCAUAAUAAUUUUCAGGUUAUGGAUAAUGCCAAUGGGCACUUAGGAUGAUCAGGGAGGGCAGUUCUGAGAAGGGGCAUAUGAGCUGUGUUCCAGUUGUCUAUUGCUGUGUGACAAACUGCCCCAAAACUUAAUGGCUUAAAACAAUGACAGAAAUUACAUUACUCAUGAAUCUGCAGUUUAGGCAGGUGGGGACAGCAUGUCUCUGCUCCACCUAACAUCAGCUGAAGGUGGGAACUGGAAUCAUCUGGAGGCUUCCUCACUUACAUGUCUAGUGGUUGAUGCUGACUGAUGUUGGCUGUUGGCAAGGACCUCUGACAGGUCUGUUCCCCGAAACACCUGCAUGUGGUACAUGGCUUUGUCACAGCAUGAUGGCUGGGUUCCAAGGGUGAGCCUCACAAGACAGAGAACCAGGUGGAGGCUGUGCCAUCUUUGGUCACCUAGUCUAAGAAGUUACAGUCACUUCUAUACCAUUUAAUUCAUUAGUAGCAAGCCACUGAGGCUAGUCCAUGUUCAAGAGGAGGGGAAUUGGAUUCCCCCUUUUUUUAGGAUAGAAAAGAAUUUGUGGACAUGUUUUCAAAUGACCACAAACUAUGACCUAAAGAAAUUAGUGGAAGAGCAUUCCAGGAAGAAUUGUAAAGUCUCUGAUGCUGGAAAGGCUUGGUGUGUUUAAGGAAAUGAAAGGCCAGAAAGGCUUGAGCACAGCAAGGGCAGAAGGUAAGAUUUGAGGUUAGAUGUGGACAGAAGCCAUAUUAGGCAGUUAUAGGUGCUUGGAUUUUAUUCUGGAUGCAGUGAGGGCUGUUGAAAGAUUUAAGGUUUGUAUUCACUUCUUGAAAGGAUCACUCCAGCUAAUAUGCAGAGAAUGGAUUGAGGUGAGAUAAGGGUAGGGAAAACCAGUUAGGAUGCUAUUGGAGUGGUUUGGGGAGAGAGAGUGAUGGCUUGGACAAGAAUGUUGGCACUGGAGAUGAAAAGAAGUAGAUAGAAAUGGUGGAAGUAAAUGAACAAGUCUACCAGGAGACUGAAUGUGAGAGAAGGAAAGGAAGGCAGGAAACAAGAAUUCUUGGGUUUUAGGCUCAUGUCCAUCUUGAUGGUGGAGCCCUUUCUGUGAUUGGAAGACUAAGAGAGGAACUUGUUGAUACGGGCAAAAGGUAAAAUCCAGAGUCCAGUUCUAGGCACGUCAAACUUGAGAGGUUUGUAAGGUAUACUGAAGGCAAGAAGUAGACAUUUGGAUAUAUGAGCCUGAAACUCAGUGGAGAGCUUGGGACUGGAAAUAUAAAUUUGGGAAUUAUCAGCAUAUGGAUGGUAUUUAAAGCUGUAGGCCUCGGUGAGGUCACCAGGGGAAAAUCUAGAACAAAAGAGUGUGGAGACUGAGCCCUGUAAAGGGUAGCCUGCAAAGGAGAUUGAAAAGGAGUGGCCAAAAAAGACAGCAGGGAAACUAGGGCAUUGGAUGUUAUAGAUACCCGAGAAAGCGUUGGUCUGAAUGACCGUUAAGACUCCUCCAGAUAUGAAUUUCUGUAACUUUAUGGAUGUUUCAAAUCCCUUCAAGCUGGGAAAUUCUGUCUCUGUUGCAUCUUUGGGAUAACAAACUUCCUGAAGAAUCACUGUGUCUUUUCAAAGACUGAAAAUGGAUUCCCAGCAAUGUGAAAUCUUGUGCCUGAGUCCUAAAGUGAUCAAAGGUAAGGUUGAGCCUAGGACAAAAUGAGGAUCCCCUGGAGGGAAGCUAGGGCAACACAGUAAGUGGCAAAAGAAUACGAGUGAGGUUAUUUGACUAUCCUCUUCCAGUAGGGCUGGCUCAGCUAUGGCAGACCCCAGGGUGGUUAGGACAAAUGGCAGCCCCAUACAGGGACAUACAUGGACACUGAUCCUUGUUUUUUUCCUUUUUGGGGCCUUUCUGAAUCUCCACUCCAUGUGCAGGGUUGACCUGUUUCCUUGAGGAACUCUGAGAUUUGCAUCAAUGGAGUUAUCUGAGGGCUCUGUGGCUUGGGCUCUGUGCAGGAGGGCAGCCUGGCAAUUGGAUUGUUCCUGCUGGCUGGUGCCAUUGUGUGAUAUUGAGUCACCAGAAUGGUGCCGAUGCACUGCUUUUGGGUGAUAAUCAGGCGCAGGAUGAAUUCGGGGCACUGGGCUACUGAUGGUCAACUGUUAGCACCUGGGCUUGGGCUGUGUGUGGGCACCCAUGCCUCAGCUCUCACCUGUUCAUGUUCCUCCAUGGUACCAUCUCUGAUUUGUGGCGUUCAAAGGCGUAGGAUGGCAGCAAGCCUCCUUUACCCUGUAUAUCCAUCCCCUUGCUGUUGGCACCUAAGGUUGUCACCCCAUGCCCUCAUCAGUCUCUGUACCACAUAUCAGGAAGUCCUCCAGUGGUGGCUAUGCCUGCCUUCUCUGAGGACUUUAAAGACCUUGGCUUUGCCACGCCAACAGGCUCUUCCAACCAGUGCCUUUCCUCCAAAUGAUAUGGCGAUGUUUUGCUUUCCCAGGUCGAUCUUAAGCCAUUCCCAACAAGGAGUGGACAUCCUUGUGUGAAAAACACUGUUUUUCUUGCUCCAGUCACGUCUCCUUGCCUUUCUUGUCUUUUGGUGGUAGUGUGCAGAAGCAGAGGUGCAGGAAAUGUUGAAAGGGAUCACAUUCUAAGAAUGUAGUUAUAAUGGCCUGAAGAAUUCAAGAGAAUACAUGGUUGGAAGAUGUGUCACUUUAUGGUUACACUAUAAAACUCCAAAUGAAAAAUAAAUUAUCAUUCAUACUUUCCUGAAUAUUCUGGGUAAGGCUUGCAUUUUGGUCAUUAUUAAUGAAGUACAGAAACAACCUCUGAGAGAGUGGUUGGAUGCCAGUAUUUGCAGGUGCCACGAUGAAUGAUGCAGCACUAUCAGUCAAGAUGCAACCAACAUUAGACAAAUGGUAUCAGAGAACCACAGAGGCGAAAAAACAAAACCAAAACCCAAAACUAUAUUGUUUCAAUACAAACAGGUUCCAAAAGCUAUGACAUCGUGAGUGACAACAAUGUUGCCGCCUCUUUCUCACAAUAGGAAAUAAAACUUUAACCAAAAGAGCAUGGGCAGAUAUUUCCCGGAUCUGAACAGGAAUAGCUGGUGUCUGGACUCUAUGAAGAAUCUUCAUGUGCAGUGAUAGAAGAAUAAACACAUUUGCAGACUUUUGUAGUGCACAGUGACCGGUGACCAGCAGCAUGUGUUUCCAUAGGCAUCUUCUCUCAGUACCCCAGAAGGUGAAUUGCCAGUGAGUCCUGCCAGGAUGCCCCUCGGUGACUGCACCACCCAGUAAGUCAUGGCUGUGUACUUCCCAUCAAGGUCUGGAUCUCAGCUCAGGUAGUGGGGGCUGCUCUUCCAUAGUCAUUCCAUCCUUGUGUGCUCUGCCUCAGCCCUGGGGAUAGUGGCCGCUUUCUGUACAUGUCAGUCCUCUAUUCUUUAGACUUCUUGUUACCCCAUUAGCAGCCAAUUCUCUUUUGUUACUGCUUAGCAGCCAACUUUUUUUAUAUUAAACUUUCCCCAACC
rnacentral:lncRNA from 1 species